GUUAUAGGCUUUAGAAGCUAAUUUUCCCUGGAUCUUUGCCCCUGUGAAAAAUCCAUCUAUCACAGAGGCAGAAACUGUAAAGAAACUAAGAUACCGCCCACCAGCCUGACGGAGGACGGUGACUGCAUGCUGACCACAAGCAUGCAGACCCCAGACUGGUUGGAGCCAGAAGGCCCUAAAACACUUCCCUGUUACCUCACUACCAAUCAAUCAGAAGAAAGUCCACCAGCUGACCACACACCCUGCAACCUUCACUCCUAAUACUGUCUUUAAAAACCCUCAUCUGAAAGCUGUUGAGGAGCUUUGGCCUUUGAGCACAAACCGCCCAUUCUCUUCUCUUGAUGUCUUGCAAUAAACGUUGCACUUUCCUUCACCACAGCCUGGUGUGGCUUUGCUGUGCUGUGGACCCGAGUUCCGUUCUAUAACAGAGCUCAGUUAACAACAGACUCCUGAGAGAUAAUAAUGGUAGUGGCUAUUUUUAAACUACUUAGUUUUAGGGUGGUUAGUUAUGCAGCAAUAGAUAAAUUUACUUCAUAGAGUUUUCAAACACUUAGAACAUGGGAUCAGCAAACUUUUCCUGUGAAGGGCCAGGUAA
ensembl:lncRNA